AGAGUUUGAUCCUGGCUCAGAAUCAACGCUGGCGGCGUGCCUAACACAUGCAAGUCGCACGAGAAAGGGGAGCAAUCCCUGAGUACAGUGGCGCACGGGUGAGUAACACGUGACUAACCUACCCUCGAGUGGGGAAUAACCUAGGGAAACCUGGGCUAAUACCGCAUAACACUUACGAGUCAAAGCAGCAAUGCGCUGAAGGAGCGGCCGAUGUCCGAUUAGCUAGUUGGUGAGGUAAAGGCUUACCAAGGCGACGAUCGGUAGCUGGUCUGAGAGGAUGAUCAGCCACACUGGGACUGAGACACGGCCCAGACUCCUACGGGAGGCGAC
rnacentral:rRNA from 1 species